UCAGGACGAACGCUGGCGGCGUGCCUAAUACAUGCAAGUCGAACGGUCUUUCUAUGGAAGCUUGCUUCCACUGAGAAGAUAGUGGCGAACGGGUGAGUAACACGUGGGUAACCUGCCCAUAAGAGGGGGGAUAACAUCCGGAAACGGGUGCUAAUACCGCAUAGUUUUCUUGAUCGCAUGAUCGGGAAAGGAAAGACGGCCUUUGUGCUGUCGCUUAUGGAUGGACCCGCGGCGUAUUAGUUAGUUGGUGAGGUAACGGCUCACCAAGACGAUGAUACGUAGCCGACCUGAGAGGGUGAUCGGCCACAUUGGGACUGAGACACGGCCCAAACUCCUACGGGAGGCAGCAGUAGGGAAUCUUCCGCAAUGGACGAAAGUCUGACGGAGCAACGCCGCGUGAGUGAAGAAAGGUUUUCGGAUCGUAAAACUCUGUUGUCAGAGAAGAACAAGUUGGAGAGUAACUGCUCCAGCCUUGACGGUAUCUGACCAGAACGCCACGGCUAACUACGUGCCAGCAGCCGC
rnacentral:rRNA from 1 species